rnacentral:rRNA from 1 species
GAUUGAACGCUGGCGGCAGGCUUAACACAUGCAAGUCGAACGAGGUUAGAAAGCUUGCUUUUGAUACCUAGUGGCGGACGGGUGAGUAAUGCUUAGGAAUCUGCCUAGUAGUGGGGGAUAACUUGGGGAAACUCAAGCUAAUACCGCAUACGACCUACGGGUGAAAGGGGGCGCAAGCUCUCGCUAUUAGAUGAGCCUAAGUCGGAUUAGCUAGUUGGUGGGGUAAAGGCCUACCAAGGCGACGAUCUGUAGCUGGUCUGAGAGGAUGAUCAGCCACACUGGGACUGAGACACGGCCCAGACUCCUACGGGAGGCAGCAGUGGGGAAUAUUGGACAAUGGGCGAAAGCCUGAUCCAGCCAUGCCGCGUGUGUGAAGAAGGCCUUUUGGUUGUAAAGCACUUUAAGUGGGGAGGAAAAGUUAAUGGUUAAUACCCAUUAGCCCUGACGUUACCCACAGAAUAAGCACCGGCUAACUCUGUGCCAGCAGCCGCGGUAAUACAGAGGGUGCAAGCGUUAAUCGGAAUUACUGGGCGUAAAGCGCGCGUAGGUGGUUACUUAAGUCAGAUGUGAAAGCCCCGGGCUUAACCUGGGAACUGCAUCUGAUACUGGGUGACUAGAGUAGGUGAGAGGGGAGUAGAAUUCCAGGUGUAGCGGUGAAAUGCGUAGAGAUCUGGAGGAAUACCGAUGGCGAAGGCAGCUCCCUGGCAUCAUACUGACACUGAGGUGCGAAAGCGUGGGUAGCAAACAGGAUUAGAUACCCUGGUAGUCCACGCCGUAAACGAUGUCUACCAGUCGUUGGGUCUUUUAAAGACUUAGUGACGCAGUUAACGCAAUAAGUAGACCGCCUGGGGAGUACGGCCGCAAGGUUAAAACUCAAAUGAAUUGACGGGGGCCCGCACAAGCGGUGGAGCAUGUGGUUUAAUUCGAUGCAACGCGAAGAACCUUACCUGGUCUUGACAUAGUAGG